rnacentral:rRNA from 1 species
UAGGGAAUAUUGGACAAUGGGUGAGAGCCUGAUCCAGCCAUGCCGCGUGCAGGAAGAAGGCGUUAUGCGUUGUAAACUGCUUUUUGCCAGGGGAUAAAAUGACCGUGCGCGGUUAAUUGAAGGUACCUGGUGAAUAAGCCACGGCUAACUACGUGCCAGCAGCCGCGGUAAUACGUAGGUGGCAAGCGUUGUCCGGAUUUAUUGGGUUUAAAGGGUGCGUAGGUGGCUAACUAAGUCAGUGGUGAAAUAUCUCAGCUUAACUGAGAGGGUGCCAUUGAUACUGGAUAGCUUGAGUACAGAUGAGGUAGGCGGAAUUGACGGUGUAGCGGUGAAAUGCAUAGAUAUCGGGAGGAACAUCAGUGGCGAAGGCGGCCCUCUGGUCCAGUACUGACACUCAAGUGCGAAAGCGUGGGGAGCAAACAGGAUUAGAUACCCCAGUAGUCCCUGAGCGGGCUGGCAAGGCGCAU